UACGUAGGGGGCGAGCGUUGUCCGGAGUUACUGGGCGUAAAGCGCACGCAGGCGGUCUGCUAAGUUUGGAGUGACAGUUGGUGGCUUAACUGCCAAAGUGCUUCGAAAACUGACAGACUUGAGGGCUUCAGAGGGACACGGAAUUCCGGGUGGAGUGGUGAAAUGCGUAGAGAUCCGGAGGAACACCGAUGGCGAAGGCAGGUCUCUGGGCAUUAACUGACGCUGAGGAGCGAAAGCAUGGGGAGCGAACAGG
rnacentral:rRNA from 1 species